AAGAUUUUAAGUUAAUUUAAACUACCAACCUUCAAAGUUGAAAAUAAGAGAUAAUCUUUUAAAUCUUA
rnacentral:tRNA from 1 species